rnacentral:lncRNA from 13 species
GCUGUUUAUUAUCUAUCCUGACGCCUGGUCACUUCUACCCAUACCUACAUGUACACAUGACCUCAAAUACCUCAACUACCUCGUACCCUUGCACAUUGACUCUGUACCGGUUCUCCUUGUAUAUAGCCUUUUUACUGCUAUUUAUCAGGUACCUAUUUUAUAUUUUUUAUUUGCAAAUGCUUUUACUUUUUAACUCUGCAUUGUUGGGAAUGGGCUCGUAAGUAAGCAUUUCCCUGUGAAGUCUAAACCCGUUGUAUUCGGUGCAUGUGAACAAUAAAAUGUGAUUUGAGUUGAUGUACUAUACCUUGUGUAAAAAAAACAAAAACAGAGUAGACAUUUAUAUCUGAGACUGACUAAAACACAGAACAAUCCCUGUAUGGGUUAUUAAUAGGCAAGACAGGGUCAAAGUUAUCAGGUUUAACCAACAAGACAGGACCAAAGUUAUCAGGUUUAAUAAACAAGACAGGGCCAAAGUUAUCAGGUUUAACCAACAAGACAGGGCCAAAGUUAUCAGGUUUAACCAACAAGACAGGGCCAAAGUUAUCAGGUUUAACCAACAAGACAGGGCCAAAGUUAUCAGGUUUAAUCAACAAGACAGGACCAAAGUUAUCAGGUUUAACCAACAAGACAGGACCAAAGUUAUCAGGUUUAACCAACAAGACAGGGUCAAAGUUAUCAGGUUUAAUAAACAAGACAGGACCAAAGUUAUCAGGUUUAAUCAACGAGACAGGACCAAAGCUAUCAGGUUUAACCAACAAGACAGGGUCAAAGUUAUCAGGUUUAAUCAACAAGACAGGACCAAAGCUAUCAGGUUUAACCAACAGGACAGGACCAAAGUUAUCAGGUUUAACCAAC